rnacentral:rRNA from 1 species
AGCCAUGCAAGCCAGCGAAUUUUUAUUUGGAGCGGCGAACGGCUCAGUAGGACAGGUUUUAUCUGGUCACGAGAUUUGGGAUAACCGCGGGAAUCUGUGGCUAAUACGUUGUGAGUGAGAGCCUGGCCUAUCAGCUAGUAGGUACGGUAAGAGCGUACCUAGGCGAUUACGGGUAGCGAGGAAUCAGGGUUUGAUUCGGAGAGGGAGCCUGAGAGAUAGCUACUACGUCUAAGGAUGGCAGCAGGCGCGAAACUUACCCACUUGGAGGACCAGAGGUAGUGACGGGGCGUGAUUUAGAUGAGGGUUUUGUAGAAGCAAGCCUGAAAGCGACUGGAGGGCAAGUCUGGUGCCAGCAGCCGCGGUAAUUCCAGCUCCAGGAGCGUCUGUGUGUAUUGCUGCGGUUAAAGAGUGCGUAGUCGGGGCUAGUGAUAGACGGUAAAUGUUUGGGUUCCGCCCGAAAUUGUACGUUUACAUUAUGUCCUAGGGAGCGGAGCGGGGAAGUGUUAUUCGUGGGCGAGGGGUGGAAACCGUAGACCCCACGAGGAGCGACAGAAGCGAAAGCGGCUUCCCGGAACGUGUCCGACGAUCAAGCGCGUGAGCACGAGUAUCGAAGGCGAUUAGAGACCGUCGUAGUUCGUGCAGUAAACAAUGCCUACAGGAUUGGAGCGGUGAGCUCUGGUCUGAGGGAAACUGAGUGUAUGGGCCCCGGGGAUAGUACAGGCGCAAGCUCGAAACUUGAAGAAAUU